rnacentral:rRNA from 1 species
UUUGGACCCACCUGAUUCCAUCCCGAACUCAGAAGUGAAACGAA